AACCCAUGAUGAGGGCACCUUCUCAAAAGAUCCUUAACUAUCUCCCAUGCAUCAUAUAAUGUCUUCAAAUCAAUUUAAGAAAAAAAAAGAUGAUGUU
rfam:Gossypium hirsutum cultivar TM-1 chromosome 15, whole genome shotgun sequence